rnacentral:rRNA from 1 species
AGAGUUUGAUCAUGGCUCAGGACGAACGCUGGCGGCGUGCUUAACACAUGCAAGUCGAACGAGAAUCUGAUGAAGGAGUUUUCGGACAACUGAUUCAGAGGAAAGUGGCGGACGGGUGAGUAACGCGUGAGGAACCUGCCUUGAAGAGGGGGACAACAGUUGGAAACGACUGCUAAUACCGCAUGACGCAUAGGGAUCGCAUGAUCUUUAUGCCAAAGAUUUAUCGCUUCAAGAUGG